rnacentral:rRNA from 1 species
AGUCAAGUAAUUAAGUGCAUGUGGUGGAUGCCUUGGCAGUCAGAGGCGAUGAAAGACGUGAUAGCCUGCGAAAAGCUCCGGGGAGGCGGCAAAUAUCCUUUGAUCCGGAGAUGUCUGAAUGGGGGAACCCACCUACUUUAAGGUAGGUAUUGCAACAUGAAUACAUAGUGUUGCAAGGCGAACGAGGGGAAGUGAAACAUCUCAGUACCCUUAGGAAAAGAAAUCAAUUGAGAUUCCCUCAGUAGCGGCGAGCGAACGGGGAUCAGCCCAUUAAGUUAUGUGUGUUUUAGUGGAACGCUCUGGGAAGUGCGAACGUAGAGGGUGAUAUUCCCGUACACGAAAGGGCACACAUAAUGAUGACGAGUAGGGCGAGGCACGUGAAACCUUGUCUGAAUAUGGGGGGACCAUCCUCCAAGGCUAAAUACUCCUGACUGACCGAUAGUGAACCAGUACCGUGAGGGAAAGGCGAAAAGAACCCCUGUGAGGGGAGUGAAAUAGAUCCUGAAACCGCAUGCAUACAAGCAGUGGGAGCACCUUCGUGGUGUGACUGCGUACCUUUUGUAUAAUGGGUCAGCGACUUAUAUUCAGUAGCGAGGUUAACCGUAUAGGGGAGCCGUAGAGAAAUCGAGUCUUAAUAGGGCGUUUAGUUGCUGGGUAUAGACCCGAAACCAGGCGAUCUAUCCAUGAGCAGGUUGAAGGUUGGGUAACACUAACUGGAGGACCGAACCCACUGUCGUUGAAAAGCCAGGGGAUGACUUGUGGAUAGGGGUGAAAGGCUAAUCAAGCCUGGUGAUAGCUGGUUCUCCCCGAAAGCUAUUUAGGUAGCGCCUCGGACGAAUACCAUAGGGGGUAGAGCACUGUUUCGGCUAGGGGGUCAUCCCGACUUACCAAACCGAUGCAAACUCCGAAUACCUAUGAGUACUAUCCGGGAGACAGACUGCGGGUGCUAACGUCCGUAGUCAAGAGGAAAACAAUCCAGACCGCCAGCUAAGGCCCCAAAAUCAUAGUUAAGUGGGAAACGAUGUGGGAAGGCAUAGACAGCUAGGAGGUUGGCUUAGAAGCAGCCACCCUUUAAAGAAAGCGUAAUAGCUCACUAGUCGAGUCGGCCUGCGCGGAAGAUGUAACGGGGCUAAAACUAUGUGCCGAAGCUGCGGAUUUGACAUUAGUCAAGUGGUAGGGGAGCGUUCUGUAAGCCGAUGAAGGUGUAUUGAGAAGUAUGCUGGAGGUAUCAGAAGUGCGAAUGCUGACGUGAGUAACGACAAAACGGGUGAAAAACCCGUUCGCCGAAAGACCAAGGGUUCCAGUCCAACGUUAAUCGGGGCUGGGUGAGUCGACCCCUAAGG